rnacentral:miRNA from 1 species
CAAGGAUGGGAUGGUCAGAGAA